rnacentral:other from 1 species
UUAGUUCUGCAAUAUUCGUGAUCUUAUAUUGAAGAAGAACUGCCAAUUUUGAGGGAAUCGAGCCAUUGGUAGCGCUCAAGCCGUCGUUGUUACGGAUCAGCAAAGCUAAAAAGGUAGAUGCCCACCUUGAACAUAGUUCUCGGAUUCAAUCUUGGACACGGUAUUGCGGAACCUCU